AGUGAACGCUGGCGGUAGGCCUAACACAUGCAAGUCGAACGGCAGCACAGUAAGAGCUUGCUCUUACGGGUGGCGAGUGGCGGACGGGUGAGGAAUACAUCGGAAUCUACUUUUUCGUGGGGGAUGACGUAGGGAAACUUACGCUAAUACCGCAUACGACCUACGGGUGAAAGCAGGGGAUCUUCGGACCUUGCGCGAUUGAAUGAGCCGAUGUCGGAUUAGCUAGUUGGCGGGGUAAAGGCCCACCAAGGCGACGAUCCGUAGCUGGUCUGAGAGGAUGAUCAGCCACACUGGAACUGAGACACGGUCCAGACUCCUACGGGAGGCAGCAGUGGGGAAUAUUGGACAAUGGGCGCAAGCCUGAUCCAACCAUACCGCGUGGGUGAAGAAGGCCUUCGGGUUGUAAAGCCCUUUUGUUGGGAAAGAAAAGCAGCAGGUUAAUACCCCGCUGUUCUGACGGUACCCAAAGAAUAAGCACCGGCUAACUUCGUG
rnacentral:rRNA from 1 species